AAGAACGAACACCUGCAUUCCCCAAGAUCGCAGAGAACGCCGGCGCGACGGAGAUUCGCCGCCGCCGCCGCAUUCCUUCUCCCCCCCUGAGAGUCCUCCUUCUUCUCCACCCGAAGAAAUCUCUCGCCGGGUACCACGCCGGCCGUCGGCCCAGGAGACGGAGAGAGAGAGGAGGCCGCCGACGACCGGAGAGGAGGACGGGAGAGAUGGAAGUCGGUCACGCGCGCCGUGCCGCCGGGUCCUGCGCGAAGCCCUGAGAGACGCCGUGACUGCCGGUUGUGGAAUGGCGGGGAACUGUCCUACCAUCUUCACAGCUGCUAGAUGUGGAGACGAGGUCACACGUCAUUGAUUUGGAGGCGCUGAAUAUGACCUCUGGGUGAAACAUGGGAUGUGAUCCCUUGCUUUGGUACAAGAUGGAAUUACAUUGAUCCAUUUCCCAAAGUUGACGGCGAAGCAUGGGAUGUCCAGCUCAUUUCAAGAUGAUGGUGCAGCAGGUCGAUGGGGAGCUGAGAUGGUAUGAAGUGAGGAGGAGGAUGACGCAAUGUAUUUUCUCCAGAUGGGGUAGAGAAGAAACUACAUGGCUACACAGAAGAAAACUGAAGGAACAUGCAUAAUAAACAGAGCUAGGGUCCGGGUCGGUCCGUGUUGUUAUCUUGUUGGGUGGGACCGUGGUGGUGAAGAAGGAUACGUGUGAGCGGGCUAAAAGAACCAGAGGAUUGUGCAAUUGUCAUUACAGAACACAGAAGGGGAGAGGGUUGUAUGAUGGUCGCGGCAGGGGGAGAGCACCUGGGAAAGUACAGAGGGAUUUCGAUGAGAUGUUGAUUCAAGACAACCCGAUGCUUGCUUUGGUGGAAUAGAAGAUGGAGUGUAGCUAUUAAUUAGACGAGCAAGAAAAUGAUGUUCCUCUACUGGAGUGUUUCGCUGAACUGAUCAUAGUGCUUGGAUUUGCUUGUAUAGUAAAAAUAAAUAAAAAAAUGAACUUGGAGAUCAGUUUGUAUUCAAUGUUAUAUUCUGUACUCGGUGUCGCUGUUUUUGUCGAAAGAUUGUGAUCUUUUGAUUCAGGGCUCAAUUGUGUACC